rnacentral:rRNA from 1 species
AGUAACGACGUGGGUAACCGUGCCUCAUACACAUGGAUAACAUACCGAAAGGUAUGCUAAUACAGGAUAAUAUAAGAGAUUCACAUGGAUUUCUUAUCAAAGCUCCGGCGGUAUGAGAUGGACCCGCGUCUGAUUAGCUAGUUGGUAAGGUAAUGGCUUACCAAGGCGACGAUCAGUAGCCGACCUGAGAAGGUGAUCGGCCACAUUGGAACUGAGACACGGUCCAAACUCCUACGGGAGGCAGCAGUGGGGAAUAUUGCACAAUGGGCGAAAGCCUGAUUGCAGCAACGCCGCGUGAGUGAUGAAGGCCUUCGGGUCGUAAAACUCUGUCCUCAAGGAAGAUAAUGACGGUACUUGAGGAGGAAGCCCCGGCUAACUACGUGCCAGCCGCCGC